rnacentral:rRNA from 1 species
ACGAACGCUGGCGGCGUGCCUAACACAUGCAAGUCGAGCGGUUCGAAGUUCAACACUGAGUAUUCAUCCUAAGAUGGGUAUUGAGUGUUGAACUUCGGAUAGCGGCGGACGGGUGAGUAACGCGUGGGCAACCUGCCUCAUACAGGGGGAUAACACAGGGAAACUUGUGCUAAUACCGCAUAAUUCGUACUUCCGGCAUCGGAAGUACGGCAAAGGAGCAAUCCGGUAUGAGAUGGGCCCGCGUCCGAUUAGCUAGUUGGAGGUGUAACGGACCACCAAGGCGACGAUCGGUAGCCGAACUGAGAGGUUGAUCGGCCACAUUGGGACUGAGACACGGCCCAGACUCCUACGGGAGGCAGCAGUGGGGAAUAUUGCACAAUGGAGGAAACUCUGAUGCAGCAACGCCGCGUGAAGGAUGAAGGUCUUCGGAUUGUAAACUUCUUUAGUCGGGGACGAAUAAUGACGGUACCCGAAGAAUAAGCCACGGCUAACUACGUGCCAGCAGCCGCGGUAAUACGUAGGUGGCAAGCGUUGUCCGGAAUUACUGGGUGUAAAGGGCGUGUAGGCGGGAAUGUAAGUCAGAUGUGAAAUUCCGGGGCUCAACCCCGGCGCUGCAUCUGAAACUAUGUUUCUUGAGUGCUGGAGAGGAAAGCGGAAUUCCUAGUGUAGCGGUGAAAUGCGUAGAUAUUAGAAGGAACACCAAUGGCGUAGGCAGGAUACUGGUCCAUUUCUGACACUAAGGCACGAAAGCGUGGGGAGCGAACCGGAUUAGAUACCCGGGUAGUCCACGCCGUAAACUAUGAAUACUAGCUGUAUGCCGUAUCGACCCGGUAUGUAGCGAAGCUAACGCGUUAAGUAUUCCGCCUGGGGAGUACGGUCGCAAGACUAAAACUCAAAGGAAUUGACGGGGACCCGCACAAGCGGUGGAGCGUGUUGUUUAAUUCGAUGGUAAGCGAAGAACCUUACCAAGGUUUGACAUCCUAGGAAUUUUGAUGAAAGUCGAGAGUGCCUUCGGGAACCUAGUGACAGGUGUUGCAUGGCCGUCGUCAGCUCGUGUCGUGAGAUGUUUGGUUAAGUCCAUCAACGAGCGCAACCCUUAUGAAUAGUUGAAUUUUUCUAUUCAGACUGCCCCGGUAACGGGGAGGAAGGAGGGGAUGAUGUCAGGUCUGUAUUACCCUUACACCUUGGGCUACAAACGCGCUACAAUGGCCGGUACAACGGGCAGCUAAGUCGCGAGACGGAGCAAAUCCCAUCAAAGCCGGUCCCAGUUCAGAUUGCAGGCUGAAACUCGCCUGCAUGAAGUCGGAAUCGCUAGUAAUCGCGGAUCAGCACGCCGCGGUGAAUACGUUCCCGGGCCUUGUACACACCGCCCGUCACACCAUGGGAGUCAGUUGCUCCAGAAACGGGUUGCCUAACCGCAAGGGGGGCGCUCUUUAAGGAGUGACUGGUAACUGGGGUG